ensembl:lncRNA
CCGGGAGGGACCAGGAGAGAGAGAGAGAGGAGACAGGAAGAGGGGGAGCAGGCUACGGAGACGGAGGAGAGGAACGGAGAGAGACGGGCUGGAGAGGAGCAGAAAGGGAGGAGAAGGGGUGAGACGGUGAGAGGCAGGGAGCAGGAUGUCCAUGUGAGGAUCAGAGGACGGAUCCAGGACGUUUUCUAGUUUAUGAAUCACGACAGGAGACCUGCUUGGUCUCCUCGGGUCUUAUCAAGGAUAUCAGCAAGGUCGUCACCGAACGUCCCAGGUGGGAACUGAAGUCCUUCCACCACUGGUUUCAUGGAGGCCAUAGCCAACCUCAACGCCCACACACACACCACCUCUACACAAGGGGGGAACGGAAAUCAUCCCAGCACUCCCAAGACAAGGUUCCCCCCCGGGGACACAGAUCACCGUUACACUCCUGGGAGCACAAGAACCAGCCCUACGAAGGCCACACCUCCUCCCAGCGUAGCUCCUCCCACGCAUUCCAGAACUGGACUCGAACCCACGGCGGGAACGGGCCUCCCUCAGGUCCUCCGGGGGAACUCUACGCCCCCUGGAGGGAGGAUGACAGCCACCCAAGG